UCAGGACAAACCCCAAACCUCCAAGUCCCAAACUGCAAAAGCUGCCCACCAGAGCAAGGAUCUUGGGUUCCCAAUAUUCACUCUCACUAUAUCCAGGAUCCCAUCCCUGUGCCUCUGUAUGGGCAGGGCUCCCAGGACUCCAUGAUGCCAGCCUUCAAUCUGAGAUCUUCUCGUCUUUAAAUUUGAGACAGGGUGUGACCAAGAUGCCCUGGCUGGAUUUCAACUUGUGAUUCUCUUGUCACCUACAAGCUGGCAUUACAGAUCUAGGUCACUACUGUUGGCCUCAGUUACUACUUUAAAAAGAAAAAUUACUGAGUUAAGGUGAACGAAGUGCUCAGCCUUGACUGGAUUUUCCGAUUUCGAUUUCCAUCUGGCCAUCUGCCAGCUCAUUUGGCUGGAGACAGAUAUUAUGCUCUCAUCAGACUCUGCAACCUUGUCAUGAUGAGAUCCGGUACUGAAUGCUAAACAGUUCCUACAGUUUAUUUAGGACUCCAGACUCAGGCCCCGGGACCCUUUCACGGGGACAAUGCAAACAGCUGAGUGGCAUGUUGCUUGCUCCCCCAUGACAGGCCUUCCUCUUCCGGUUCUGCGCAGAAGCGUUUAUGUCUCAGCUUGCGGUCUCGCUCUGUCUGUGGCAGUUAGGGAGAGGGGAGGUGUCGCGCGUGGGGACGGAGGCGGGUCAACGGCCGCGCAGCUGUUCUCAGGGGCCAGAAGUUUCAGUUGGCUUAGUGGAUUCAAGACGGGCCCCCCACUGGAAAUGGAUCAUAAGACAUCUCACCAACUUUUUUCCUGGAGCCAGUAGUACACAGCAUCUGCUCUGAUUGUGGGCACUCAGGAUGGCUGCAGGGAGGGUGUCGUGUCCUUGGAUUUGGGAGCUUGGAAGCCACAGCAGCUGCACGGGAGUGAUACUUUCCUGUGACAUUCCCUGGCUGUCUGCUCAACAUGCCCUCUUGUUCAGAAACAUCUGCACUAACUGAAACAUCCCUCACAGUGAGAAAAGGAUCAAACAUGAGCCUGGUGCUUCCCGGACACAUGGUUUCUUUGAGGACCUGUGGUGGUGAGCAUUAACUGCAAUGGGCAUCUCAGCACAGAUAACAGAGUCCCGGAGUCCUGUGACCAAGCCUAUACAAGUUACAAUUGCUCUGCAUGGAUUCCAGAAACAACACGAACUUUUACCAGUAAAGCAGUAACUAUGGAUUCUAACAGCAAACAGAACAGAUCAGAUUUGCCAGGAGAAAUUUGUUACAGGCUGGCUUAGAUUGGUCUUCUGUUAGUGCUUCCCAAAACAGUAAGAGGCAAUAAAUAGUAAGGAGUGCUAAACUAUUGUUAUUACCAGAUACGUGCGUGUAUUUUAAGUCCAAAGCUGCUGAUUCAUGUAUGUCAAGUAAUUGACAGAUGGAAGUGUUUAUGGUAGUGAAUUGUCAGACCCCUGUGUAUUGCAGUUUGCACCCUGUUGCACUCAAAGAGCAACGCUUCUCCCAUAGGCCAUAGUGAGCAGUUGCAUAAAGGAGGGGAAUGCGUGUGCUCAUCUUUGGCUUCUAGGACUAAUAACAGAUCUGAGUACCAGAUAGUUGGUAAAAAAUCUUUUAAGUUGCAAAAUCACAUAAGCUUUGUAACGUUCUCUAAAUGUAUAUUGCAGUGUUGGGUAUUUUAAAGGUACUCAACUAUCUACACCGCCUACGGGAACCUUCCAAUAGAUCCUUGUGACUGAUUUUAUGUGGAAUGCAGUUAAUGUUGCAGUAUUGUCCACAACAAUGUAGAUCUAGUCAACAGUAAAAAGAUUCCAGCAAUAAACAGGCCUUGUGUGUAAUCCAACCUCUAGCUUUUCAGUUCCCACAUGCACAGAGAAAUUGCGGUGACUCCAGGCUCCAGGUGGAUGACCACUGCUGAAGGUCAGUCAGAUCCAUGGUCUCUGCACCUUUCAGAUACACAUGCAAGGAAUGAUUUGUCACACAGAAACUCUGAGUUGCAAGGAAAGGAAAGUUGAUGAAGAAGGCAAAGUGAGCCGUUCAUUCCCGUUUCCUCACCGUGCACACUACUGAGAAAGAGCAGGUGGGCUUUCCCCACUGAAGGCUUCUCCAGUGAAGCUGUGAUUCUGCUGCUGUGAUGGUGGGUACUCGGUGCUUGGAUGGAGCAGUGGGGGCAGCAUCAUUUCUUCCUCAACAUGCAUCUGUCCAGUGCAAUGGGAGUGGAGCCAUGGACAGGCCACUGCCUUCACCUGGGGCUCACACAAAGAUCUAGCAGCAAACCCUGAGGAGAACUGUGCCUGUGGGUAUCAGCCUCUAGAGACCCUGCACACUGUGUUCUGCCCUGCAGCUGUCUGCCUGCUCUGCCUCUUCUUUGUGAAUCAAGCUUCCUGACACCUGCACUCCAAGGCAUCUCUUCCCCUGACUCUGUUUAUGGAUGGGACCCCAGGAGUUCCUCACUCACAAGGGACAGCCCCCUGGAAAAAAAUCCAAGGCCAUCCCAUGUAUGUCUCAGAUGCUCUUGAAUGUACUUAUUUCAUUUCCUUUGGAUGUAUUCCCAAAUGUAGGGUUGCCGGUAAAGGAUGACAAUAUUUUUCUGUAUUUAGAGAAACUGCCCCACCAUUUUCCAUGUUGCCAGUUCUCAUUCGUUGCCAUUUCCAUUCUCAAAUUGUAAAUUUCUUUGACAUUAGGUAUAACAAGUUUUAGUUGUGAAAUGGAAAGCAUGAAAAACAAAGGAAUAAGAAUAUUAACUGUAUUAAAAGCUUUUAUGUAUCAAAGGACAGUAUCAUCAUAGUGCAAAUAUGUCCUACAACAAGUGGGAAGAUGGGAAGGGGACCGGGAGCUGGAAGUAGCAAGGUUGGGUGGCGGGGUGAGGGAUGAAAAAAGAUGUGUCCCAUGCCUGUGUCAACUGCCCACCGUGAGUGUAAUCAUUAUGUACUGCAAGUGUAUACAAAUAAAAUGAAUUCCAAUAAUGGAAGAAAACUUGUGCAAGUCAUGUUGCAGAAAGCGCUCAUAUCCAAAAUACAUAAAUGACAAUGAAAGGACAAACAAGACAUUGACAUAGGUAGAGAAAUUGGGUAGUUCUAAAGGUAUUUUCAUGAGGCUAAAUGUGCACAGGAAGCUUCAAAACACUACUAGUAAUCAAAUAGG